rnacentral:misc_RNA from 1 species
UCCGGUUUGUCACCGGCAGUCCCACUAGAGUGCCCAACUGAAUGUAGCAACUAAUGGUAAGGGUUGCGCUCGUUGCGGGACUUAACCCAACAUCUCACGACACGAGCUGACGACAGCCAUGCAGCACCUGUGUUCUGGCUCCCUUUCGGGCACUUCCACAUCUCUGCGGAAUUCCAGACAUGUCAAGGGUAGGUAAGGUUUUUCGCGUUGCAUCGAAUUAAUCCACAUAAUCCACCGCUUGUGCGGGUCCCCGUCAAUUCCUUUGAGUUUUAGCCUUGCGGCCGUACUCCCCAGGCGGGACACUUAUUGCGUUAGCUUCGGCACGGAGGGGGUCGAUACCCCCCACACCUAGUGUCCAUAGUUUACGGCGUGGACUAC